rnacentral:rRNA from 1 species
UACGUAGGGUGCAAGCGUUGUCCGGAAUUAUUGGGCGUAAAGAGCUCGUAGGCGGUUUGUCGCGUCUGCUGUGAAAUCUGGGGGCUCAACCCCCAGCCUGCAGUGGGUACGGGCAGACUAGAGUGCGGUAGGGGGAGAUUGGAAUUCCUGGUGUAGCGGUGGAAUGCGCAGAUAUCAGGAGGAACACCGAUGGCGAAGGCAGAUCUCUGGGCCGUAACUGACGCUGAGACGCGAAAGCGUGGGGAGCGAACAGG